AUUGAACGCUGGCGGCAGGCCUAACACAUGCAAGUCGAGCGGAUGAAGGGAGCUUGCUCCUGGAUUCAGCGGCGGACGGGUGAGUAAUGCCUAGGAAUCUGCCCGGUAGUGGGGGAUAACGUCCGGAAACGGGCGCUAAUACCGCAUACGUCCUGAGGGAGAAAGUGGGGGAUCCUCGGACCUCACGCUUUCAGAUGUGCCUAGGUCGGAUUAGCUAGUUGGUGGGGUAAAGGCCUACCAAGGCGACGAUCCGUAACUGGUCUGAGAGGAUGAUCAGUCACACUGGAACUGAGACACGGUCCAGACUCCUACGGGAGGCAGCAGUGGGGAAUAUUGGGCAAUGGGCGAAAGCCUGAUCCAGCCAUGCCGCGUGUGUGAAGAAGGUCUUCGGAUUGUAAAGCACUUUAAGUUGGGAGGAAGGACAGUAAGUUAAUACCUGGCUGUUUUGACGUUACCGACAGAAUAAGCACCGGCUAACUUCGUG
rnacentral:rRNA from 1 species